rnacentral:rRNA from 1 species
AGUGAACGCUGGCGGCAGGCCUAAUACAUGCAAGUCGAACGGCAGCACAGUGGAGCUUGCUCCAUGGGUGGCGAGUGGCGGACGGGUGAGGAAUACAUGGGAAUCUGCCCAGUCGUGGGGGAUAACGUAGGGAAACUUACGCUAAUACCGCAUGCGCCCUUCGGGGGAAAGCCGGGGACCUUCGGGCCUGGCGCGAUUGGAUGAGCCCAUGUUCGAUUAGCUAGUUGGCGGGGUAAAGGCCCACCAAGUCGACGAUCGAUAGCUGGUCUGAGAGGAUGAUCAGCCACACUGGGACUGAGACACGGCCCAGACUCCUACGGGAGGCAGCAGUAGGGAAUAUUGGACAAUGGGCGCAAGCCUGAUCCAGCCAUGCCGCGUGAGUGAAGAAGGCCCUCGGGUUGUAAAGCUCUUUUGUCCGGGAAGAAAAGCAUCGGGCUAAUACCUCGGUGUUCUGACGGUACCGGAAGAAUAAGCACCGGCUAACUUCGUG